rnacentral:rRNA from 1 species
CACGUAGGCACCAAGCGUUGUCCGGAUUUAUUGGGCGUAAAGAGCUCGUAGGCGGUUCAGUAAGUCGGGUGUGAAAACUCUGGCUCAACCCGGAGACGCCACCCGAUACUGCUGUGACUUGAGUUCGGUAGGGGAGUGGGGAAUUUCUAGUGUAGCGGUGAAAUGCGCAGAUAUUAGAAGGAACACCGGUGGCGAAGGCGCCACUCUGGGCCGAAACUGACGCUGAGGAGCGAAAGCGUGGGUAGCAAACAGG